rfam:Felis catus isolate Cinnamon breed Abyssinian chromosome D1, whole genome shotgun sequence.
GCCUGACUGGCUCAGUAGGAAGAGCAUGCGACUGCUGAUUUCAAGGUUGUGAGUUCAAGCCCCACAUUAGGUG